rnacentral:rRNA from 1 species
CGCGUGAGGGACGACGGCCUUCGGGUUGUAAACCUCUUUCAGCACAGACGAAGCGCAAGUGACGGUAUGUGCAGAAGAAGGACCGGCCAACUACGUGCCAGCAGCCGCGGUAAUACGUAGGGUCCGAGCGUUGUCCGGAAUUACUGGGCGUAAAGAGCUCGUAGGUGGUUUGUCGCGUUGUUCGUGAAAACUCACAGCUCAACUGUGGGCGUGCGGGCGAUACGGGCAGACUAGAGUACUGCAGGGGAGACUGGAAUUCCUGGUGUAGCGGUGGAAUGCGCAGAUAUCAGGAGGAACACCGGUGGCGAAGGCGGGUCUCUGGGCAGUAACUGACGCUGAGGAGCGAAAGCGUGGGGAGCGAACAGGAUUAGAUACCCUGGUAGUCCACGCCGUACACGGUGGGUACUAGGUGUGGGUUUCCUUCCUUGGGAUCCGUGCCGUAGCUGACGCAUUAAGUACCCCGCCUGGGGAGUACGGCCGCAAGGCUAAAACUCAAAGAAAUUGACGGGGGCCCGCACAAGCGGCGGAGCAUGUGGAUUAAUUCGAUGCAACGCUAAGAACCUUACCUGGGUUUGACAUGCACAGGACGUGCCUAGAGAUAGGUAUUCCCUUG